GCGGGGAGCUGACCAAGUCUUCAUGAUCUUAGAUAUCUUCAUCGCCGUUGAUUGAAGGUUAUCCCUAAAGUCUACCGAAUUAAUGGCGACGGAGAGGACUUGAUGGGGGCAGGGGUUGUAUCUUCAACAUGAAAGGAGCAUUCCCCUUCCUUCCCACAAAUCCACCAUUGGAUUGUGCAACAGGUGCUUUAAGAGCCGUGCUGCAGAUCGAUGUAGAUGUUCAACUUGCUUUGUGAGUUGCA
rnacentral:lncRNA from 1 species